AGUUCGAGAGAGGUGAGUGGAAUUCCGAGUGUAGAGGUGAAAUUCGUAGAUAUUCGGAGGAACACCAGUGGCGAAGGCGGCUCACUGGCUCGAUACUGACGCUGAGGUGCGAAAGUGUGGGGAGCAAACAGGAUUAGAUACCCUGGUAGUCCACGCCGUAAACGAUCAUCACUCGCUGUUGGCGAUAUACUGUCAGCGGCCAAGCGAAAGUAUUAAGUGAUGCACCUGGGGAGUACGCCGGCAACGGUGAAACUCAAAGGAAUUGACGGGGGCCCGCACAAGCGGUGGAGCAUGUGGUUUAAUUCGAUGAUACGCGAGGAACCUUACCAGGGCUUAAAUGUAGAUUGACAGGUUUAGAGAUAGACUUUUCUUCGGACAAUUUACAAGGUGCUGCAUGGUUGUCGUCAGCUCGUGCCGUGAGGUGU
rnacentral:rRNA from 1 species